CCUGUCAGAAGGGAGUCAACUACAAUUGCCUGCCUCCUUUUCCCCUUUUUUUCCCUUUUUCCCCUUUUUUUCCCUUUUUCCCCUUUUUUUCCCUUUUUCCCCUUUUUUUCCCUUUUUCCCCUUUUUUUCCCUUUUUCCCCUUUUUUUCCCUUUUUCCCCUUUUUUUCCCUUUUUCCCCUUUUUUUCCCUUUUUCCCCUUUUUUUCCUUUCCCCCCCUUUUUCCCCUUUUUAUCCCCUUUUUCCCCCCCUUUUUUCCCCCUUUCUUUCCCCUUUUUUCCUCCCUUUUUUCCCCUUUUUUCCCCCCUUUUUCCCCUUUUUCCUCCAUUUUUUCCCCUUUUUUCCCCUUUUUCUCCCCUUUUUUUCCCCUUUUCCCCCCUUUUUUCCCUCCUUUUUCCCCCCUUUUUCCCCAUUUUUUCCCCUUUUAACCCCUUUUCCCCUUUUUUCCCCUUUUUUCCUCCUUUUUUCCCCUUUUUCCCCCUUUUUCCCCCUUUUUUCCCCUUUUUUCCUCUUUUUUCCCCCUUUUUCCUCUUUUUUUCCUCUUUUUUUCCCCUUUUUUCCCCCUUUUUCCCCUUUUUCCCCUUUUUUCCUUUUUUUCCUUUAUUUUCCCUUUUUUCUUCUUUUUUCCCUUUUUUUUCCUUUUUUCCCUUUUCCCCCCUUUUUUCCCUUUUCCCCUUUUUUUCCCUUUUUCCUCCUUUUCCCCCCUUUUUCCCCUUUUUUCCUUUUUUCCCUUUUUUCACUUUUCCCCCCUUUUUUCCCCUUUUUUCCCUUUUUUUCCCUUUUUCCCUUUUUUCCCCUUUUUUCCCCAUUUUUACCUUUUUCCCCUUUUUUCAAAUUUUUUCCCUUUUCCCCCCCUUUUUUCUUUUUUCUUUUUUUCCCUUUUUUCCCCUUUUUUCUUUUUUCUUUUUCCUUUUUCCCCCUUUCCCCCCCUUUUUUCCCUUUUUUCCUUUUUUCCCUUUUUUCCCCUUUUUUCCCCUUUUUCCCGUAUUUUCCUUUUUUCCCUUUUUUCCUUUUUUUCCUUUAUUUUCCCUUUUUUCUUCUUUUUUCCCUUUUUUCCCUUUUUUCCUUUUUUCCCCUUUUUCCCCCUUUUUUCUUUUUUUCCCCCUUUUUUUCCCUUUUUCCCCUUUUUUCCCCUUUUCCCCCUUUUUCCCCCUUUUUUCCUUUUUUCCCUUUUUCCCCUUUUUCCCCUUUUUUCCCGUAUUUUCCUUUUUUCCCUUUUUUCCUUUUUUCCUUUAUUUUCCCUUUUUUCUUCUUUUUUCCCAUUUUUUCUUUUUUUUCCCAUUUUUUCCCUUUUUUCCCUUUUUUCCCUUUUUUCCCUUUUUUCCUUUUUUUCCUUUAUUUUCCCUUUUUUCUUCUUUUUUCCCUUUUUUCCCCUUUUUUUCCUUUUUCCCCCCUUUUUCCCCCCUUUUUUCGUUUUUCCCCCUUUUUUCCUUUUUCCCCUUUUUCCCCUUUUUUCACUUUUUUCCCCUUUUUCCCCCUUUUUUCUUUUUUUCCUUUUUUCCCUUUUUUCCUUUUUUCCUUUAUUUUCCCUUUUGUCUUCUUUUUUCCCUUUUUUUUCCUUUUUUCCCUUUUUCCCCCUUUUUUCCCUUUUUUCACUUUUUCCCCUUUUCCCCCCUUUUUUCCCCUUUUUUCCUUUUUUUCCUUUUUUCCCUUUUUUCCUUUUUUUCCUUUAUUUUCCCUUUUUUCUUCUUUUUUCCCUUUUUUCCCCUUUUUUUCCUUUUUCCCCCCUUUUUCCCCCCUUUUUUCGUUUUUCCCCCUUUUUUCCUUUUUCCCCUUUUUCCCCUUUUUUCACUUUUUUCCCCUUUUUCCCCCUUUUUUCCC
rnacentral:lncRNA from 1 species